rnacentral:rRNA from 1 species
AAGCAGAAAAUCAAGAGAGCCGAUGACGGCCUUGGUUUUUCUAGGCUCUAGGUUCUGUACUCUAGGUUCUAGGAAAGUAGCGGACGGGUGAGUAACGCGUGGACAACCAACCUAUCGGUGGGGAACAACCAUGAGAAAUCGUGGCUAAUACCGCAUACGGUCUUGAUGCGGCAUCGCAUUAAGAAGAAAGCAUUUAUGCGCCGGUAGACGGGUCCGCGUCUGAUUAGCCAGUUGGUGGGGUAAUGGCCUACCAAAGCAUCGAUCAGUAGCCGAUCUGAGAGGAUGACCGGCCACACUGGGACUGAGACACGGCACAGACUCCUACGGGAGGCAGCAGUGGGGAAUAUUGCGCAAUGGGGGAAACCAUGACGCAGCAACGCCGCGUGAAGGAAGAAGGCUUUCGGGUCGUAAACUUCAGACGCUAGUGAAGAAAAAAAUGACGGUAACUAGGCCGAAGCUCCGGCUAACUACGUGCCAGCAGCCGCGGUAAUACGUAGGGAGCAAGCGUUAUCCGGAAUUACUGGGCGUAAAGGGUGAGUAGGCGGCUAUGCAAGUCAUAUGCGAAAGGCAAGGGCUUAACCUUUGGACUGCAUAAGAAACUGUAUGGCUGGAGUGUGGGAGAGGCAAGCGGAAUUCCUAGUGUAGCGGUGAAAUGCGUAGAUAUUAGGAAGAACACCGGUGGCGAAGGCGGCUUGCUGGACCAUAACUGACGCUGAGGCACGAAAGCGUGGGGAGCGAACAGGAUUAGAUACCCUGGUAGUCCACGCCGUAAACGAUGAGAACUAGGUGUCGGCGCGAGAGCGUCGGUGCCGCAGCUAACGCAAUAAGUUCUCCGCCUGGGGAGUACGUUCGCAAGAAUGAAACUCAAAGGAAUUGACGGG